rnacentral:hammerhead_ribozyme from 1 species
GCACUACUGAGGAGUCCCAUACUAGGACGAAACGGCCGUCCAGCGC